AACGAACGCUGGCGGCAGGCCUAACACAUGCAAGUCGAGCGCACCCUUCGGGGCGAGCGGCGGACGGGUUAGUAACGCGUGGGAAUGUACCCUUCUCUAUGGAAUAGCCAUUGGAAACGAUGAGUAAUACCAUAUACGCCCUUCGGGGGAAAGAUUUAUCGGAGAAGGAUCAGCCCGCGUUAGAUUAGAUAGUUGGUGGGGUAAUGGCCUACCAAGUCUACGAUCUAUAGCUGGUUUUAGAGGAUGAUCAGCAACACUGGGACUGAGACACGGCCCAG
rnacentral:rRNA from 1 species